rnacentral:rRNA from 1 species
GGCGUAAAGAGCUCGUAGGUGGUUUGUCGCGUUGUUCGUGAAAUCUCACGGCUUAACUGUGAGCGUGCGGGCGAUACGGGCAGACUUGAGUACUGCAGGGGAGACUGGAAUUCCUGGUGUAGCGGUGGAAUGCGCAGAUAUCAGGAGGAACACCGGUGGCGAAGGCGGGUCUCUGGGCAGUAACUGACGCUGAGGAGCGAAAGCGUGGGGAGCGAACAGGAUUAGAUACCCUGGUAGUCCACGCCGUAAACGGUGGGUACUAGGUGUGGGUUUCCUUCCUUGGGAUCCGUGCCGUAGCUAACGCAUUAAGUACCCCGCCUGGGGAGUACGGCCGCGAGGCUAAAACUCAAAGAAAUUGACGGGGGCCCGCACAAGCGGCGGAGCAUGUGGAUUAAUUCGAUGCAACGCGAAGAACCUUACCUGGGUUUGACAUGCACAGGACGCCGGCAGAGAUGUCGGUUCCCUUGUGGCCUGUGUGCAGGUGGUGCAUGGCUGUCGUCAGCUCGUGUCGUGAGAUGUUGGGUUAAGUCCCGCAACGAGCGCAACCCUUGUCUCAUGUUGCCAGCGGGUAAUGCCGGGGACUCGUGAGAGACUGCCGGGGUCAACUCGGAGGAAGGUGGGGAUGACGUCAAGUCAUCAUGCCCCUUAUGUCCAGGGCUUCACACAUGCUACAAUGGCCGGUACAAAGGGCUGCGAUGCCGCGAGGAUAAGCGAAUCCUUUUAAAGCCGGUCUCAGUUCGGAUCGGGGUCUGCAACUCGACCCCGUGAAGUCGGAGUCGCU